rnacentral:rRNA from 1 species
GACGAACGCUGGCGGCGUGCCUAAUACAUGCAAGUUGAGCGCUGAAGGUUGGUACUUGUACCAACUGGAUGAGCAGCGAACGGGUGAGUAACGCGUGGGGAAUCUGCCUUUGAGCGGGGGACAACAUUUGGAAACGAAUGCUAAUACCGCAUAAAAACUUUAAACACAAGUUUUAAGUUUGAAAGAUGCAAUUGCAUCACUCAAAGAUGAUCCCGCGUUGUAUUAGCUAGUUGGUGAGGUAAAGGCUCACCAAGGCGAUGAUACAUAGCCGACCUGAGAGGGUGAUCGGCCACAAUGGGACUGAGAAACGGCCCCAACUCCUACGGGAGGCAGCAGUAGGGAAUCUUCGGCAAUGGACGAAAGUCUGACCGAGCAACGCCGCGUGAGUGAAGAAGGUUUUCGGAUCGUAAAACUCUGUUGGUAGAGAAGAACGUUGGUGAGAGUGGAAAGCUCAUCAAGUGACGUUAACUACCCAGAAAGGGACGGCUAACUACGUG